ACCCGUCUUGAAACACGGACCAAGGAGUCUAACAUGUGCGCGAGUCAUUGGGUUAAUGUUAAAGCGAACAAGCCUAAAGGCGCAAUGAAAGUGAAGGUCGUCCUUAGCGUCGAUCGAGGGAGGAUGGCCCGGGCUCGCCCGGGUCCGCACUCCCGGGGCGUCUCACGGUCGUUUCGACCAGAGGCGCACCCAGAGCGUACACGUUGGGACCCGAAAGAUGGUGAACUAUGCCUGGUCAGGACGAAGUCAGGGGAAACCCUGAUGGAGGUCCGUAGCGAUUCUGACGUGCAAAUCGAUCGUCGGAACUGGGUAUAGGGGCGAAAGACUAAUCGAACCAUCUAGUAGCUGGUUCCCUCCGAAGUUUCCCUCAGGAUAGCUGGCACUCGCUCGAUAGCGAGUCUCAUCUGGUAAAGCGAAUGAUUAGAGGCCUUGGGGCCGAAACGACCUCAACCUAUUCUCAAACUUUAAAUGGGUGAGAUCUCUGGCUUGCUUGAACGUUGAAGCCACGAGAUUCACGGAUCAGAGUGCCAAGUGGGCCAAUUUUGGUAAGCAGAACUGGCGCUGUGGGA
rnacentral:rRNA from 1 species